CCUACGGGUGUCAGCAGUGAGGAAUCUUUGUCAAUGGACGCAAGUCUGAACCAGCCAUGCAGCGUGCAGGAAGACUGCCCUAUGGGUUGUAAACUGCUUUUAUAUGAGGAUAAACUGUUCCACGCUUGGGUGUCUGUAUGUACCGUAUGAAUAAGGAUCGGCUAACUCCGUGCCAGCAGCCGCGGUAAUACGGAGGAUUCAAGCUUUAUCCGGAUUUAUUGGGUUUAAAGGGUGCGUAGGUGGUUGGUUAAGUUAGUUGUGAAAUUUCGCGGCUCAACUUUGAAAUUGCCGCUGAACCUGGUAGUCUUGAGUACAGUAGAGGUAGGCGGAAUGUGUGGUGGAGCGGUGAAAUGCUUAGAGAUCACGAAGAACUCCGAUUGCGAAGGCAGUUCACUGAACUGCAACUGACACUGAGGCUCGAAAGUGUGGGGAGCAAACAGGAUUAGAUACCCCUGUAGUC
rnacentral:rRNA from 1 species